rnacentral:rRNA from 1 species
CGGGAACGUCUGACACACGGUGCUGCAUGGCUGUCGUCAGGCUCGUGUCGUGAGAUGUUGGGUUAAGUCCCGUAACGAGCGCAACCCUUGUCCUUAGUUACCAGCACGUUAUGGUGGGCACUCUAAGGAGACUGCCGGUGCAAACCGGAGGAAGGUGGGGAUGACGUCAAGUCAUCAUGGCCCUUACGGCCUGGGCUACACACGUGCUACAAUGGUCGGUACAAAGGGUUGCCAAGCCGCGAGGUGGAGCUAAUCCCAUAAAACCGAUCGUAGUCCGGAUCGCAGUCUGCAACUCGACUGCGUGAAGUCGGAAUCGCUAGUAAUCGUGAAUCAGAAUGUCACGGUGAAUACGUUCCCGGGCCUU